GACGAACGCUGGCGGCGUGCUUAACACAUGCAAGUCGAACGGUAAGGCCCUUCGGGGUACACGAGUGGCGAAUGGGUGAGUAACACGUGGGUGAUCUGCCCUGCACUUUGGGAUAAGCCUGGGAAACUGGGUCUAAUACCGAAUAUACCCUGCUGGUCGCAUGGCCUGGUGGGGGAAAGCUUUUGCGGUGUGGGAUGGGCCCGCGGCCUAUCAGCUUGUUGGUGGGGUGAUGGCCUACCAAGGCGACGACGGGUAGCCGGCCUGAGAGGGUGACCGGCCACACUGGGACUGAGAUACGGCCCAGACUCCUACGGGAGGCAGCAGUGGGGAAUAUUGCACAAUGGGCGCAAGCCUGAUGCAGCGACGCCGCGUGAGGGAUGACGGCCUUCGGGUUGUAAACCUCCUUCAAUAGGGACGAAGCGCAAGUGACGGUACCUAUAGAAGAAGGACCGGCCAACUACGUGCCAGCCGCCGCCGUAA
rnacentral:rRNA from 1 species